rnacentral:tRNA from 2 species
CAGAGUGUAGUUUAUGAGAAUAUUAAUUUUGGGGAUUAAUGGAGAAUAGUUGUUUAUUCUUCUCUGA